CAGUGUUGCCGGUAUUAGAGGAUCGAGUUAGCGCCAAACCUGGUGUGGCACUUGCUACAAUAAUUUAAAUUGAUUUGUUUGGCUGUACAAAGCAACAUAAUGUAUUUCUGAAGGUCUUGCAGUAUGUUUUUUUUUGUUUACAUAUAAAAAUUCGGUAGUUCGCUCGAUCCGUCGGCGAUGCGCGGCCAACGCUGCAAAACGCUGACCGCUUCCUCUUCCCGCCCGCGCUACCUGAAACCACCGGUGUCAUUUUGCUGUGCGAGUCUGCGAGCGUCUCUUUCUGUCCCCGCUGUAAAGUUUUCUGUGCGUGUGAUGGAGCGGCGUAGAAAACUAGCUGCUUUACAGCUACUUUUGAUAAUGAAGAGGAAGCAGGCGCUGUCCCGCAAGCACUGGGUUCGGCCGGUCUGGACCAAGCGAGCGGACGAAAGCGAGUUCUUCACAGCGAUGAAGCUCAUGAAGAACGGCGACGACUCGCUGUUCUUCAAGUUCUACAGAAUGUCGCCGGAGACAUUCGACGCGCUCCACGACAUGGUGCGGGACCGGCUGACGAAGGAAUGGGUCUGCCGAGAACCGAUUUCAUCUGGCGAGCGCCUCGCACUGACGCUGCAAUACCUGUCGUUCGGUAUGCUCGUGUGAGAUGCAGCAAUGGCCUUCAGAGUGUGGCUGGAGACUGCACGCAAGGCAAUCACCUGACGUGCAAUGUGCCAUGGGAGGUGCUGUCCCCUGUGUACAUGAAGCCUUCAACGGAGGGAGAAUGGAGGGACGUCGCCUCAGGAUUUGGCAGUUGUUGGCAGUUCCCGAAUUGCCUGGGUGCUGUGGACGGCAAGCACGUGAGGAUUAGAUGUCCAAGAAAGGCUGGGAGCCUGUACUUCAACUAUAAGAUUUUUGCCAUCGCCACCGCCUGCUGCUCGUGCGUCGACCUACCAGACUUUGAAGAUACGGCCUGGCCUACGUGUUGACCGACUGACGUCGCUGUCCUGGUAGGGCAAGCUACUGCGCCUGCGCUGCGACUCCUCGGUCCAGCGCCACCGCACCGCAUAAAAGGCACUGCUUCGCUCUGGCCCUCCGGGAUAUGCGGUCACGCACGACAUCGUCUUAACAUUUCACUGCUGUGUUCUAGGUUCUGGGCAACCCAGGAGUGACCAGCUGUGAACUUCUGGUGCCAUGUCGCCCUCUGUGUGGAGUCCUGGUGCCCAACAUAAGCUUGCUAUUCUGCUACCUUUACCAGGCACACUCGGAGAAAGACUAACAUCCACACAAUGCUUUUGUGUUUGACAUUUUGUGUUUUAUUAUCUAUGUUAUUUCUUCAAA